rnacentral:rRNA from 1 species
GACGAACCGUGCGAACGUUGUUCGGAAUCACUGGGCUUAAAGGGCGCGUAGGCGGUCUGCCAAGUCAGGGGUGAAAGCCUCCAGCUUAACUGGAGAAGUGCCUUUGAUACUGGCGGACUCGAGUGAGGUAGGGGUUGUGGGAACUUCCGGUGGAGCGGUGAAAUGCGUUGAUAUCGGAAGGAACGCCGGUGGCGAAAGCGCACAACUGGACCUCUUCUGACGCUGAGGCGCGAAAGCCAGGGGAGCAAACGGG